rnacentral:lncRNA from 1 species
GGCACACUUACGAUUGAUUGAAUGCUUAGGUUUUCUGUUUAACGUUCAAUGGUAAACAAUUUAUUUAGGUUCAAAAUAUUCAAAAAUAAGAAUAUGUGGUAUGAUUUUCAAUGACAACUCUCCACCAGACACCAAAUGCCAUAGAAGUUUACAACUAUGGGUCACCGUACGGCCUUCAACAAUGAACAAAACCCACAAGCACAACGUGGCCUACAUUGAUAACAUAUAACUUAAUAUUGCUCGUUUGUUUAUUUGAUAAUUUUAUUUUUUAAGUAGCAACAUCAGUACUGUUUGAUUUUUUUUUUAUAUAUCAGAUACACACAAGUAGUGAUAUUAGUGUUGUAUCAGCCAACCGUGAUGAUAUCAGUUAGUACGGUUGCCGUGUGAAAAGCUUUAUCAAACCCCUAAUCUGUAUGACGUCACUAAAUCGAUAUCAGCCACGGUUACACCCUUAAUAGUAUAGAUCAGUAUAUGUUUUAUUUCACGUGAAAAACAUCUAAAUUAGUUAUACUUGAGGUAAUUGUAUACUAUAAAAUGUAUAUGAAGUGGCUUUUUCAAUACCACACUCUGUAUCAACC